CCUGACGGCGCAAGACCGCGUGAGGGAGGAAGGCUCUUGGGUUGUAAACCUCUUUUAUCAGGGAAGAAGAUCUGACGGUACCUGAUGAAUCAGCAUCGGCUAACUCCGUGCCAGCAGCCGCGGUAAUACGGAGGAUGCAAGCGUUAUCCGGAUUUAUUGGGCGUAAAGCGUCCGCAGGUGGUUUUUCAAGUCUGCUGUUAAAGCGCGAGGCUUAACCUCGUAACGGCGGUGGAAACUGAGAGACUUGAGUAUGGUAGGGGUAGCGGGAAUUCCCAGUGUAGCGGUGAAAUGCGUAGAUAUUGGGAAGAACACCAGCGGCGAAAGCGCGCUACUGGGCCAUAACUGACACUCAUGGACGAAAGCUAGGGGAGCGAAAGGGAUUAGAUACCCCUGUAGUCCUAGCUGUAAACGAUGGGUACUAGGUGUUGACCGUAUCGACCCGGUCAGUGCCGUAGCUAACGCGUUAAGUACCCCGCCUGGGGAGUAUGCACGCAAGUGUGAAACUCAAAGGAAUUGACGGGGGCCCGCACAAGCGGUGGAGUAUGUGGUUUAAUUCGAUGCAACGCGAAGAACCUUACCAGGGCUUGACAUGUCGCGAAUCCCGGUGAAAGUCGGGAGUGCCUUCGGGAGCGCGAACACAGGUGGUGCAUGGCUGUCGUCAGCUCGUGUCGUGAGAUGUUGGGUUAAGUCCCGCAACGAGCGCAACCCUCGUUUUUAGUUGCCAUCAUUAAGUUGGGCACUCUAGAGAGACUGCCGGUGACAAACCGGAGGAAGGUGGGGAUGACGUCAAGUCAGCAUGCCCCUUACGUCCUGGGCUACACACGUACUACAAUGCUUCGGACAAAGGGUUGCGAGCUAGCGAUAGCAAGCUAAUCCCGUAAACCGAGGCUCAGUUCAGAUUGCAGGCUGCAACUCGCCUGCAUGAAGGAGGAAUCGCUAGUAAUCGCAGGUCAGCAUACUGCGGUGAAUACGUUCCCGGGCCUUGUACACACCGCCCGUCACACCAUGGGUGUUGGCCACGCCCGAAGUCGUUACUCCAACCGCUUGCGGA
rnacentral:rRNA from 1 species